GAUGAACGCUGGCGGCGUGCCUAAUACAUGCAAGUCGAGCGAACAGACGAGGAGCUUGCUCCUCUGACGUUAGCGGCGGACGGGUGAGUAACACGUGGAUAACCUACCUAUAAGACUGGGAUAACUUCGGGAAACCGGAGCUAAUACCGGAUAAUAUAUUGAACCGCAUGGUUCAAUAGUGAAAGACGGUUUUGCUGUCACUUAUAGAUGGAUCCGCGCCGCAUUAGCUAGUUGGUAAGGUAACGGCUUACCAAGGCAACGAUGCGUAGCCGACCUGAGAGGGUGAUCGGCCACAGUGAAACUGAGACACGGUCCAGACCCCUACGGGGGGCAGCAGUAGGGAAUUUUCCGAAAGGGGCGAAAGCCUGACGGAGCAACGCCGCGUGAGUGAUGAAGGUCUUCGGAUCGUAAAUCUCUGUUAUUAGGAAAGAACAAAUGUGUAAGUAACUAUGCACGUCUUGACGGUACCUAAUCAGAAAGCCACGGCUAACUACGU
rnacentral:rRNA from 1 species